rnacentral:rRNA from 1 species
GAUGAACGCCGGCGGCGUGCUUAACACAUGCAAGUCGAACGGACUUUUAAUGAAACCUAGUGAUUUAAAAGUUAGUGGCGGACGGGUGAGUAACGCGUGGGUAACCUGCCGUAUGCUGGGGGACAACAGUUAGAAAUGACUGCUAAUACCGCAUAAGCGCACAGUAUCGCAUGAUACAGUGUGAAAAACUGAGGUGGCAUACGAUGGACCCGCGUCUGAUUAGCUUGUUGGUGAGGUAACGGCUCACCAAGGCGACGAUCAGUAGCCGGCCUGAGAGGGUGAACGGCCACAUUGGGACUGAGACACGGCCCAAACUCCUACGGGAGGCAGCAGUGGGGAAUAUUGCACAAUGGGGGAAACCCUGAUGCAGCGACGCCGCGUGAGUGAAGAAGUAUUUCGGUAUGUAAAGCUCUAUCAGCAGGGAGAAAUGACGGUACCUGACUAAGAAGCCCCGGNUAACGUACGUG